rnacentral:rRNA from 1 species
UACGGAGGGUGCAAGCGUUAAUCGGAAUUACUGGGCGUAAAGCGCACGUAGGUGGCUGAGUAAGUCGGAUGUGAAAGCCCUGGGCUCAACCUGGGAAUUGCAUUCGAUACUGUUCGGCUAGAGUACGGUAGAGGGAGGUAGAAUUCCUAGUGUAGCGGUGAAAUGCGUAGAUAUUAGGAGGAAUACCGGUGGCGAAGGCGGCCUCCUGGACUGAUACUGACACUGAGGUGCGAAAGCGUGGGGAGCAAACAGG